GACGAAGGGGGCUAACGUUGUUCGGAAUUACUGGGCGUAAAGCGCGUGUAGGCGGCGUAGCAAGUCGGGCGUGAAAGCCCACGGCUCAACCGUGGAAGAGCACUCGAAACUGCUGCGCUAGAGUUCUGGAGAGGAAGGCGGAAUGCUUGGUGUAGAGGUGAAAUUCGUAGAUAUCAAGCGGAACACCGGUGGCGAAGGCGGCCUUCUGGACAGUGACUGACGCUGAAACGCGAAAGCGUGGGGAGCAAACAGG
rnacentral:rRNA from 1 species